rnacentral:rRNA from 1 species
AUGCCACGUGCCUGCAAUGUUCCUCCCACUGUUAUUAAUUUUGCUUGGCCGGUGUGUACUGAAUCCCUACUGACAUGGAAAAAUAAGUGCAAGUGUAGCCUUGAAGUUACAUCUAUAUGUCCAGUGUGUGGUGUUGAAGAGGAAGACAACUUUCACCCAUUUUGCCUGUGUCCGCUAGCAAGAGAUUUAUGGCGCUGCAUGUCCUCCGUUUGGUCGCUUCCAAAGUUGGACGAGAUUCAAAAUUCUGGAAGGGAGUGGUUGUUACAUUUGCUUGACCGGGUGCCUGCUGAGACGAGAAACAUGAUCUUGAUGACACUUUAG